CGCUCAACUGUCAGCGCUUUCGGCGGCCAGAGUAUGAACGACAAAACCAGGCAACAGAGGGAAUAUAGAGAUCAGUGGGGAAACUUAAUGGGUUCCAUUCUACUGAUGCGUUCAUUUUGUGAUUCAUUCUUCAGCCAACGUUAGCUAGUUGGUAGAUAUCGCCGGUCUCUGGAUGUCCGCAGAUUGAAUUCCAUCUUUAUUAUGUAUUGAAAUCAAUUGAAAUGGAGAAGUUGAGCAGAUUGUGCAAGUUUUGGAAAUGCGCACAUGAGUGCCUACCGCAUGCUUUAAUCUAUAUACUUAUAUUCGACCAGUGAUUUGAAAUAAAUUUUCUAGUCUAAUUAUCUAUCCUGAUAUACACUGAAUAUAAAUGUAAAGUGUGUAAAAAUAAAUGUAAAUCCGAACUAGCAAAUUUGCGUGAGUUAGAAUCUGAGCUGCAAAUGACCUAUUAGUAUAAAUAUUACUAAAUAUAAUGACAUGAGUUUGAAAAAAUAAAGUAAAAAGAUAGCUCGUUAUACUUUGUGACGUCCCUAGAACAACCAAAAUUGUACAACUUAUCAAAAGAAGGCGUGCAAUAGGAUGGGUCUAUUUCAACAAAAGAAAGAAAUUGAGACUCUCAUAAGCUAAAAUAAAGAGACACAUUCCUCGGGAAGUUUCUUCCAUCCCUCUGAUGACUAAUGAUCGAGAGGUUUCAAGGCAAGGUAGGAAGUUGGAAAGCUUGCAACCACCCUGAACGAUUUCUCGGAAUUUAGGCUGACAAGUUUUUUGACUUCGCGUCGAGAAAUCUGCGUCCAAUUGGACCUGAAGGUCUACAAAAAUUAUCAGAUGACAAGCAUCCGGAGGAUGGAGACGCGAUUCGGACAACCAGUGGCUGUAGAUUAGGAUGGUACGUGCAGCGUUUUCUUGUCAGCUUGGGUAGUGAAAAUGCUGUAUGAUGAUGACAUCCUAUUCCGGAAUGUGGUAUAGGCUACUUACGAGGAUCGGCUGCUGAAGUAUUGAGGUAAACAUCGUGUGCAGUGCUUCCAUUCUGGCAUCUGGGUAGACUGGAAUAUCGACGAGGGUACAAGCAAUGUCGACGAGACGGGGCAAGUCACAAUCUAGCUGUGACAAUUCAACCGAAGUGUUUUCCAAUCGUUCGUCUACGUCUGCAGACCAUUGUUGCAUGAGCGUAUCAAUGUCAACUGUUGGUUUUGAGAGAUGUACUGUAAGCGGGUGCCUAUUUGUGUGCAACUGGUCCUGAACUUGUACUAUGACUUCGCAAUUGCAAAUGCAGAACGGCAGGCUCCGAUUGAUUAGCGCAGGGCUCAUCCAGAACGACUAGCCCUACUUUAUCAGCGGUACCAUCAGGUUUCGGAACUUUAAUGAAAGCAUCAAUAUCGCCGACUGCUGGAAUGUAGUCGGGCACGAACGGAAUGAGCUUGUAGUCAAGGUCAAUUUUCUGCGAUGCCCACUGAAAAACAUAGAAAGGCAAAAACCUGACCAACUCACCUUGUGAUAUUCUCGAAAAGUUCUUUGAUUUCAGCUGAUACGUGAAGAUCUUCAAAUUCCUUUGGAUCAUAAGUUUCAAAACCUUUGGUUGUUCCACCUUGUAUAUCAUCGUCAUCCGUCUCUUCACUAUCAGAAGCAUCAUUCAUGAGUGCGCUUGACUUGCCAAACGAUGUGGGUUCAACGUGGUCCGUAAGCUUGUUCGAAUAUCUAGUGGAAUAAUUUUUGAAUAUUCCAUAUAUGCUUAUAGGAUUUGAACGUACUUAACCGUCUACCAACACAAAAAUUAAAUAAGAUGCCAAAGGAA